ACGUCACAUAUCUGCGUCUCAUCCUAUUCUACAAUAUUCUCUAAGACGAUUGCCGGGAAGUGAUAGUCCCUCGGGGGGCGUAGAUGAGGAAGACAACGGCGAGUCGCUUUUGACCCUCUUUCUUCCUUUUUUCGG
ensembl:ncRNA R04F11.14 ncRNA